rnacentral:rRNA from 1 species
AAGGAUCCRUUGAAGGGCAAGUCUGGUGCCAGCAGCCGCGGUAAUUCCAGCUUCAAUAGCGUAUAUUAAAAGUUGUUGCGGUUAAAAAGCUCGUAGUUGGUUCUGCGUGCCACGCUGUCGGUUCGCCGCCUGCCGGUGUAACUGGCAUGCCGUGGCAUGUCCUGUCGGUGGCGUUCGGGAGCCUCGUUAGGUGCCGGCCCUUGCCCUAAAGCUUGGUGCUCGGAGGCCGGGGGUAUACCCGUUCGCCUAUCUAUCCUACCUAGGUGCUCUUCACCGAGUGUCGAGGUAGGCCGACACGUUUACUUUGAACAAAUUAGAGUGCUCAAAGCAGGCUGAAAUCUCUGCCUGAAUAGUGGUGCAUGGAAUAAUAAAACAGGACCUUGGUUCUAUUUUGUUGGUUCUUAGGAACACAAGGUAAUGAUCAAUACGGACAGGCGGGGGCAUUCGUAUUGCGACGUUAGAGGUGAAAUUCUUGGAUCGUCGCAAGACGCACAAGAGCGAAAGCAUUUGCCAAGUAUGUCUUGAUUGAUCAAGAACGAAAGUUAGAGGUUCGAAGGCGAUCAGAUACCGCCCUAGUUCUAACCAUAAACGAUGCCAGCCAGCGAUCCGCCGAUGUUCCUCCGAUGACUCGGCGGGGAGCUUCUUCCCGGGAAACCAAAGCUUUUGGGUUCCGGGGGAAGUAUGGUUGCAAAGCUGAAACUUAAAG